GUGAGCCAAGGUGAAACCAGAAAGGGACCUUCUUCCAUGCCGAGCGACAUCGUCCUCCUCCCCCUCCUCGUUCGCCAGGCCUACGUUGAUGCUACACUCCUUUCUCUUCAAUUUGUGCUAGCGCGAUCUGCUCCUUUGGAAGAUUUUGUCCGUGCAUUGCAGCUCCUUUGGAAGGUCCCUUGCUGCCUCACUGGUUUCCCGAGGGUGCUGCAUUGCUUACCCUUCUUUUUAUGCUGUGGAUGGAUUCUCUCCAUGCGUUGUGUCUCUUAUUUGCUUUAUUAUUAAAGUGAUUGUCAGGAGCCAGGCUGUAGUUCCUCACGGUUCUCUCUUAGAUACAGAAUCUGAGAUUCAAAUUACAACAAACAGCAAGAAGAGGACUGGGAAAUCAGAGCCGAGGUGGGAGAGAAGAAAGCCGCCGCCGUUCGUCUGAUCCAACUUGGAUGCCUCUCCCGUCGCCUGUCUCGUCAUAUAUGUAGCUUGCAAUCCCAGGUUGGUGGCCACACGGGCCGGCCCGUGUGUUGGCUCUAAAGGCCAGCCCAUGUGCAAGCACAUGCAGGAGAGGGUCCUAACAUCCCUCCCUCCUUGAAAUGCGGCUUGAUCCCAAGCCGACAUCACGAAGAACCCGCCUGGAUCCCAUUGCAGUCGAUGUUCGUUGAUGUGGUCGAAGUCACUGUAGUAGCCAAUGUUGGGGUAGACUUCAAUGUGGUAGAGGUAGUAGUCCUGGCCUAUGGGAACCCAGUCGAAGAAGGCCGCUAGGCAGUAGUUGACACUGUCACGGACACCAUCAAAAUCGAAGUAGUGCUUGUGGCGGGCAGAUACUUGAUCGAAGAAGGCGGUUACAGCUAUGAAAUCCCUCCCUCCUUGAGAAGGCACCUUGACCAUGCAAUCUUCCACCGGGAAAACUCAAAACAAUUGUGCUUCAUGUUACAGACAAGGAACAGCAUGCAUAGACAUGCUAUGCAUGUUACAGACCUGCGUGCUGGUGGUUUCGUUGAUUUUAUCAAUGGAACUGGGGAUGAAUUCCCUCUUGAUCUAAAAAAAAAGACAAGGCACUGUUGAUGAUAGCCAUUCAGCUGAAGAAGAAUCAACUGUUAUUGAGCCUCCUCUGCAAGCUGUGGUAGAUGACGCUACAACCACUGGUGAAGACAAAAGUGAUGAAGACAAAAGUGAUGACAUCGCGCCUCCAAAGCCUAAAAGGAACGCCAAUUCUGCCAAGUCAGGUGGGUCGGCUAAGAAAGGAAAGCUGCAGUAACUGGUCAGCUGUGUGUGCAGACGUAGUUUGUGCAUAAGGUAUACCUCAGUUACAUUGUAUGUAAGCUCACAUGAACCAGGUGAAGAGCUUAUUAGUAUCUUAGUACUGCUCUUGCUACCUCGAUGUCCGCUACUCCGCUGGUACCCCGUAUGCCUUCUUUGCUACAUCGUCGAGCUAAUGAGACAGCUUCAUCGCCUCAACGCAUGGUGAUGUUCCCUUUGGGUUCUCUGGUAUACUGUCAAGCUAAUGUGAAGCCCUUAUUACUCCGCCUUCAUGCUGCAGCUAGAUGUACCUUCUAUGUCGCGGUAUGUUCCUCCUGUGGUGUCUAUAUAAAUGCCAAUGCAAAGGUUAUUUUGUAUAAGUGCACGCUGUUCUCAAGCACGCUUUGUAAGUACAUUCUCUGUGUUAGCAGAGG